CGUAAAUUACGAAAUGCCACCCAUUUCAUAAGCCGUUAUAUAACCAAUUAUUGCAAAUGAUCGCAGAAACUAUUCGCGAUCAGAUCGAUAACAGAUUUUAUUUCAAGUUUCUCGAACAAGCGACGCGGAAUUAUAUAAUGGAACAGAAAUAUCUUGGGAAGUGGUUGAUAAAAAUUCAUGCAGUCACUACGAGUCGCUCUAAAUCUUCUCCUGCGGGACAAGUUGUUAAUCAUUAAAAAACUAGUCCCUGUUGAAAUGCAAGCGGAUAUAAUUUUUCAACUAAUUAAAACGAAGACGUGUGCGUUGAUGUUUCAUCGCUGUCGUAAAGGAAAUUAGUCGAGAUCCUUUAUCGAUGCGGUGACAAGAAUCGAGGAGAGACUAUUAAAUUGACGAGAAGACACGUGAGCAGGAAAAUGGAUGAGACGCCGUCUACGUGGCUCAAUGUCAAGCUGCAAUCAGCUACUGACUCGGAGCGAGCUGCGUCCGUUCCAGAUGACGAUGAUAGCAGUAAGAUCUAUCAGACGAGACGUGUUCGUUCCAACGAAACGCUAUUAUCGUCCUUCUUGUAUGGUGAAAUUAAUUGAUCUGCCUUGGAAUAAGAUAUCGAAAGUUUUUCGUUUCGUCACAAGAUACCAUUAUUCUAACUCAACGAGAUUGAAGAAUGCAGGCAUAUUAUGGAAAUCUGCCUUGAACGAGAAAUAUGCUAUUACCGUUGGUUAAUAGAUUAUUCCAGUAAUUGAUCGCUCGAAGAUGUAACGCGAUGUCGUUGCUAUGAGUUUGUGAGAUUAGAAUGAAACGUUUUGUAUGAAUUAUGUAUAAACGAGAUAUCGCUCGAGUUAGAGAAGAAAUAUUAUACAUUUAACGCUCGCCACUUGCGCUACUCUCGAUCAAGGUUUCUGUAAAUGCGUCCAUCAAAAGAAACGGUUAUCGUUCCGCGGAUCCGGAAUUAAUUAGAAUUCUGAACGCGAUGUGCGUGUUCGUUUCGCAAAUAAGACGAGAAUGAAAGGAAAAAAAGAAAGAAAAGAACAAGGAAUGAGGAAAGCCAGAAAGGAAAGAAUUAGAACGAGAAAGAGAGGGGACGAAGGAACAAAGCUCGGCGAAGACUAUCGGGCGAUACAACUCGUGGAAUGCUAUUUUCGUCGAAGCCAACGAGAUUCUAUCCAUACAGAAGGUGACUCAUUAUUACCGCAGAGGUCGUCGAGAGGAGAGACAGGGAGGCAGAGAAAGAACACGAAGGAAUUAUGUUCGUCGAGAACCGCAAAGACGACGAUGGGCGCCUUUUGAAUAACCACCGGCUGACCUCACUGCUUUUCUAUAGCGAACGAGACGCGUGUAUAGCGUGUAUACACUUCGUGAAGGUACAUCGAUGAUCGUUUGUCCUGGUAGGUCGCGAUUUUCGUUCGAUUCGACGUGUGCACAUCGCUUCAAUUAUCGUUACCGAGAAAUGUCGCUCGUAUAUAUUCUUUGCCGCGUCCUUGCUCGCUUGCGAGUCGAGCCGCUUAAGGUGCUCGAUAAUUGAGCGGUUCAAGGCGAUCCUGAGAGCGUGUCCUCCUUGUACUUCCUUCAAAAAAUGAUUCUUAAGGAAGGGUUUCGAGACGUUGUACGCGACGUUCGUUCGCGGUAAAAUGAUUAUGCGGAUUGUUUUUCUGCGAUCGUAAAGGAACGUCCAUUGAUACUUUCGAAUGAUAAAUUGCUCUCGUGAUCACGCGGCUGACGACGCGAAAUUGCUAUCAGAGGGUCGAUGACGCUUCCAGUCCUUUAAUUAUAAUGUAAUACCCUGAAAUGCAUGGCUGAGCAUUUUAAUGGAGAGAGGGCAGAUGCGUUUGGACGUUUGUGCUUAUUUGCGUUUCGUGAGCGGCUACAUGAUUGCCGGUGGUUCGGCAAUUUGUAAUCGAGCCGAGAAUAUAUAAAAACGUAUUUUCGAUUUUUAAUCGGUGGCCGAUCGAGAAUUUUUCGGGUAACACGGCGACUAUGUAUGUAUUUACAAAGAUAUAUCGUUCGACGAAAUUCGGUGAAUUUUUGGGCAGGCCAUUGAUAAGUUUACAUUUGUGCAAAUAAUGCGACACGCGGUAUGCAAAUAGCAUGCUCGCGCGAAAAUUUGAAAAAUAUUUUGUUCACGAAAACAGUGGAUUGGAAAUAUGAGUGUUAUGUUUCCGAUUAUAAGAAAUUAUGUCGUUUGAAAGGAAUACAUUGUUCUUGUUGACUUUAGAACAAAUUUAUGCACAUAUUUAUCGUAAUCGUGGUACGAUUUGAAACAAUGUUAAAAAAUGAAUGGUUAUGUAAAAUUUAUUAGGUUUAGAAACUGAAAAUGAAACGACGCUCGAUCCUACGUUACGUGGAUUUUACUUCUAGUGGAAAUUAUAUACAUACAUUGUACGUAAGUUAUGCUGUGCUUUUCUAUUGCGACUCUUUAAUCCCAUUUCCAUUUAAUAAGAUUCAAAUGCUAUUCCAGUGACGUGAAUUUAUAUUGCAUACAAUUGUAUUCUGAUUACAUGGUAAUUAUUUCUGAUUGAAAAAUUUCCCCGGUUUAAAUUAAUUUGCAUUAGGAAGGCUUCUGGAUCGAAUGUUAGAGUUAUACAAUAAAUGAAUAUGCUUUAUGUUAAUCUUGAAUCAUACUUACGUUGAAUAACAUUCCGCGUAGGAUAUGAUAGCUUCCUGAAGGUUUCUUUAUGAAUCUGUUGUUUUUUACGCUACUCUGGUGCGGUGCUAUUUUCCCUGAUUACUUUCGUUCUUACAAUUUUAGAAUUUCUAUAUUCAACAACUUUACAUUUUUUAACAAGUAUUAUUAUAUAUAUGUGUGUAAGAUUCUGUGGUUCCGCGUUUGUAAUUCCUAUACGAAUUCUAAUUUAGAUGGAGUGUGAUAAGAAAGAAACAAGUUCAAAGUAAAA